UGCUUUGAGCUGGAGUUGAACCAGCGACCUUUGGACGACAGCGUUUCAGAAACUUCUUACAGUUCUCUGGUCUACCAACUGAGCUAUGAAGCUGCUUAUAUAUACAAAUGCAGAAAACAUAGUGGCUUCGGUGACACACUUUGCCAACAAUACAAUAGGACGCACAUGGUCAACGAAAAAGGUUGAACAGUGCAUAGACCAAUGAAAUCUAGUGUUUGGAGCAGGAGUUGAACCAGCGACCUUUGGACCACAGCGUUUCAGGAACUUCUUACAGUACUCUGCUCUACCAACUGAGCUAUGAAGGUGCUUAUAGAUACAAACGCAGAAAACAUAGUGGCUUCGGCGACACACUUUGCCAACAAUACAAUUGGACCCACAUGGUCAAUGAAAAAGGUUGAACAGUGCAUAUACCAAUGAAAUCUGGUGUUUGGAGCAGGAGUUGAACCAGCGAUCUUUGGACCACAGCGUUUCAGGAACUUCUUAAAGUCAUGUGCUCUACCAACUGAGCUAUGAAGGUGCUUAUAGAUUCAAACGCAGAAAACAUAGUGGCUUCGGCGACACACUUUGCCAACAAUACAAUUGGACCCACAUGGUCAAUGAAAAAGGUUGAACAGUGCAUAGACCAAUGAAAUAUGGUGUUUGGAGCUGGAGUUGAACAAGGCACCUUUGGACCACAGCGUUUCAGGAACUUCUUAAAGUCAUGUGCUCUACCAACUGAGCUAUGAAGGUGCUUAUAGAUACAAACGCAGAAAACAUAGUGGCUUUGGCGACACACUUUGCCAACAAUACAAUUGGACCCACAUGGUCAAUGAAAAAGGUUGAACAGUGCAUACACCAAUGAAAUCUAGUGUUUGGAGCAGGAGUUGAACCAGCGACCUUUGGACCACAGCGUUUCAGGAACUUCUUAAAGUCAUGUGCUCUACCAACUGAGCUAUGAAGGUGCUUAUAUAUACAAACGCAGAAAACAUAGUGG